AAAGCAAGUGGGAAUGGCGAAAUAUAUAACUUAAUAAAAUAAUGCCAGAUGUGAUCACCACACAAGAUAUGAAGCCACAAUGUUUAGUGCUCAGAUUUUGGCAUCUGAACCAACCAAUAUUUUGAGAUUACCAAUUGCGCGCGCAAGACACACUGGGAAGCGCAUCUAAUAUUAAGAAGAGUAUCCGCUGAAUGUUCCGACUAUCAAUGAGGAGUCCGACCGUCUACGGAAAAAAAUUACUUCGGCGAUCGCAUACUAUACUGGGGGAGGGCAAGGAAAAUGGGCCCUUUGGCAGUUUUGCCCCACCACUGAAGAAUCCUUAAAAAAUUCACUGUCUGGAGUAAUUAUGUAGAAAUAAAAGUUGAAGACAAGACGAAAGCCGGCUAUUCGUGAGACCCAGAAGAUGAGAAGAAUUACUCACUGUUUAUUUCCAUGGUAUAUUUUGUUUAUUUUCAUGCAGAGACAAAUUAAAAGAUUAACACUAAAAAGUUCCCGUGCGUAUAAAAGAGCUUUAUUUUCAAAGGAAAUUAAGUCCGUUCUGUUGACGCACGACGCACGUGUUUUGUUCCGAUAAUUUGUUUCAAGCAAUAAGAUACUUGAAUUAAAAUUCCUACCUGCGAGAAUAAGACGAGUUGUUGGAAAUACUCAGAUACAUCACGAAAGCAU